GUUAAGUUGGCAGAAAAGUGCAUUAGACUUAGGAUCUAAAAAUAAGAGUUUGAAUUCUUACUUAAUA
rnacentral:tRNA from 1 species